AUUAAACUGCCGUUAAAAUAGCCCUGAGUAGUACCUAUUAUCUUUAAACUCAAAGAAUUUGGCGGCACCCCUACCUCUUAGAGGAGCCUGCCCCAUAAUCGACGCCCCACGAUUCAAUAAACCUUCUUUUAAAGCUUGUAUACCGCCGUCUAGAUUAUACCAUAAGGUAUAUUCGUAAUUAUAUUAAUAAAUACCUCAGGUCAAGGUGCAGCUUAUGGGGAGGAGGGAGGUGGGCUACAUUAAUAUGGAUUAUACGGAUCUACGGUUGAAAACCGCCGUGAAGGUGGAUUUAAGAGUAAGAUUGUUGUUAAAUAAUCUGGCCGGGUU
rnacentral:rRNA from 1 species